rnacentral:miRNA from 1 species
CAGACCUAGAAUAUGAUGCAC